GAUUGCCCUGCACAAUAGACUGACUACAGUAACUCCUGCUUCCUGAAAAAUGUGUUUGCUGCACAGACGCUUUUUUGUGAACUCAAAGAGAGUCAAAGCCGCUGAGACUCCAGCACCACGCUGACUCUCAUCUGCCUGAUGGAGCUCUGCUUCUCAGUCAGGCUCAAAGUGAUGGUGCCAUACAUCACACCUCCACCCACCAGGACAGCAGCGAGCAUUCGGAGGCAGGCAGUGUGGACGUCCGGGAGCACAGCAACAAUAACGUCCCAUAGCUUCAGCUAUCCCUCUCUUACUCAGAGCAGAUGGACCAUGACUGUGGAGCCACAGAGAGAAAUUAGAGGAGCAUGUCCAAGUCUGUGAAGAAAGACU